UCUGCUUAAAUACUUACUAAGAUGAACAUUCGAAGACCCAGUCAGCUCCCGAUUCUGUUUGGUUGUCUCUGACUGGUCAGUUUUUGCUGCCUAAUUCAACUGGACUCUCGUGACUGCUUGGGCUGUUUUGGAUUUUCAGACUCUAACAAUAGUUCUUUCCUUUUCCCAGUGCUGCAGUUGGUUGGUUUGUUCUGAUCCUGGAUUCUGCAUAUUAACUCUGAGGACAUCAUGAGCAAGUGUAUGAAUGUGCGGAGUCAUCCGGGAAGAGGGAACCUCAGCUGAGGAAAUGCCCCUCCCCCCCACCAGGUUGGCUUAUAGGUAAGUCUGCGGGCAUUUUCUUGAUUGAUGAUUGGUGUGGGAGGGCCCAGCCCACUGUGGAUGCAAUG
rnacentral:lncRNA from 1 species